rnacentral:rRNA from 1 species
GAUGAACGCUGGCGGCGUGCCUAAUACAUGCAAGUCGAGCGAACAGACGAGGAGCUUGCUCCUCUGACGUUAGCGGCGGACGGGUGAGUACACGUGGAUAACCUACCUAUAAGACUGGGAUAACUUCGGGAAACCGGAGCUAAUACCGGAUAAUAUCUUGAACCGCAUGGUUCAAUAGUGAAAGACGGUUUUGCUGUCACUUAUAGAUGGAUCCGCGCCGCAUUAGCUAGUUGGUAAGGUAACGGCUUACCAAGGCAACGAUGCGUGGCCGACCUGAGAGGGUGAUCGGCCACACUGGAACUGAGACACGGUCCAGACUCCUACGGGAGGCAGCAGUAGGGAAUCUUCCGCAAUGGGCGAAAGCCUGACGGAGCAACGCCGCGUGAGUGAUGAAGGUCUUCGGAUCGUAAAACUCUGUUAUUAGGGAAGAACAAAUGUGUAAGUAACUAUGCACGUCUUGACGGUACCUAAUCAGAAAGCCACGGCUAACUACGUG